rnacentral:tRNA from 1 species
GCCCCCAUAGCUCAGUAGGACAGAGCGUUACCCUGACUCGGUAAAGGUCGGCAGUUCAAGUCUGCCUGGGGGUGCCA